rnacentral:lncRNA from 1 species
UUGAAGAUCCACUUGCAUCCAACUACCCUUUGGUGAUUAGGUAGCUUCACAAGUUUCCAAGUUUGGUUCCUUUCCAAUGAAUCCAUUUCUUCAUUCACCGCCUUCAACCAAUACUUGCUCUCUUUGCUCUCAAAUGCCUCCUUGAAGUUUCUAGGCUCCGAGUCUUGCACAUCUUCCGCCGCAUUUAGAGCAAAACACACCAAGUCCGCAUAACCGAAUCUCUUAGGAGCCGUAAUGGUCCUUCUUUCUCUAUCUCUUGCCAAUAGAUACUCAGGAUCCACUACCGGUUGAGUUCCACUUGUAUCCGAUGUUGAAGCUUCAUCUUCUACAUCUU